ACAAAGCCCGGGCCCCGUCAGCCAAUGGGAGCCGAGAGUGGGUGCGGGGGGUGUGGCAAGGCAGAGGGACACUGGGAGUGGCGGUUGUUUCAAGAUGGCGGAUGUGGCUGGUCGCUGGACUACCGAUGAUUGUCAAGGAGAUCUACAAUCAUCUCCCCAACAUCGCAGAUGCCUGCACAAAAGAAGAGGCUCUUGCAGCUAUUGUCCACCUCGCUGCAAAGCGGCUCAUCCCCAUUGUGGACUGUCUAUUGGACUGCUCAAUGGACUCCGAUGAGUAAGGAUCUCUAAGAGAUGACUGUGUGACGGGGGAUUGAUCCAUUUUGCCUGCAAAUCUCAGGACGUCUCAGAUGCCCUGCAUAACCUCGAUCCGCCAAGCCAGGCCACAGCCCAUCAGCCAUGGAUGGAGAUUUCCCAACUCUCUGGCAUCUCCCAGGUUUUUGAAGUAGAGCUGCCAACUAUUUGCCCCCUGGAAGCUGCUUGCUCUGCAGGAAUCGGACUUUCUUCCACGCUGUCAAAAGCAUUACCUACUGCGGAUCAAACUUCUGUUCAAGAUUCAGGUGGAAGUCAUGCUAGGUUUCCCACACAUACACCUUCUGGACAGUUGGGAAGGAUGGGAAACAAAUUCAGUUCAGGUCACUUUUAAGUGAGAACCUACAUCAUUUACAGUUUCCAAACAAAAGCAGCAGACGUAGACUGAGGCAAGGGGCUGGGCUCCUCCUCUGAGCCUGCCUGGCCUGUCGCUCAACAACGUGCAGGUCUCUCCUCAAGAGGGAUGUCAGGGGGGAGGAGAGCCAGCAGGACUGGGACUGCCCAGCCACUGAGUAGCAGAUGCAAUCUCACUCCUCUCUGUCUGAGUCUGCGCUCACACGGAGACUCUCAACCUCCAGACUUGUCCUGGAGGUUUUCAUACCUCAUACCUGGAGGAUUUUUCAUACCAAGUGGGCCACAAGAGUAAUUCAACACAGAACCUGUGGGCUGCACACUGUGGGAGAGGGGAGCGAGGCCAAAAUUUGACACACACACCCCGGCCUUCAUGCUGCCUUCCCAAAGGUAGACAAGUGAGGCUCUGGGUUUUGGGAAGGAGGCAUGAGGGAUCUGUCAGGGUCCUAGAAUCCACCAGCUUCCUUCCCAAAGCCUAGUUAGCUCUUUCCCAGCUUUGGGAAGAAAGUGGGAAGGCUCUAGGUCCUGCCAGAGCCUUGUGCCUCCUUUCCAAAACCCAGAGCCUCACUUGUGUGUCAAAUUUUGGCCUCGCUCCCCUCUCCCACAGUGUGCAGCCCACAGGUUCUGUGUUGAAUUACUCUUGUGGCCCACUUGGUAUGAAAAAUUGGAGCACCCUGGUUUAGAUGGUGUAUAUUUCUGCUCUGGUGCCUUUGGGUGAGGGAUGGAUUACAAAUACUUCCAGUGAAUAAAUGAUGCAUUUUAAUGCAUUUUAGCGUUUAAUGAAGCCAAGAACUGUAUCACGUUUCAAAGGUGUCAAAAUGCAAGGCAUACUUGCAUUGCAAGCUGCACAUGAGUCUGGGAGGUGUGGUCUGGUCAGUUCACAUCAGAAUCCACAGAAAUACUGUUCUUCAAACCACCUCUAUUAUUAUCCAGGAUGGAAGGAUCUGUCCAAAUUGGUUCUCUAAGUGUCUCAUUUCUCCACUCUUAAAUUUGGUUCCUCACAUUUUGCAGCAAUCUGCUUACAGAAUCACAUUUAUCCUCCAGCCCUCAUGAUCACUGAUUGCAAUAAAUAAAAUGACAUGUUUGACGUGCAUCUUUCUACCUAGGGAAUUUCAGAGGCCGUUGGUAUGGCUUCCCACUGCCAUUUCUCUCAGACGCUGACGGCAGUAAGGGAUUUCGGCUAUGUAGCCAUUUCAAGGAAGACUGAGAGUAAGGGUGUCAAGUGAGGAAGGAGCAGAGCAAGAAUGUAGGUCAGCCACCCCCAUCGGUCUGGCCUCCUACUGCCACCUAUGCCAAAUAUUAAGUACCCUGAAGGAUUUUGGCCACUCCAUCUGUGAGGUAAGGGUGUCAAGGGAGGAGGGAGCAUUGCAAGAGGGAGGUCAGCCACCCCCAGCCUGGUGCCCCUUCCCCACCCAUGUGUUUUGAACUGGAACUCCCAUCAGCCCCAGACAGCAUGGCCAAUGGUUAGACACGAUGGGAGUUGUAGCACAACAAUAUCUGAAUGGCACCAGGUUGAGAAGAUCCUGACAGAUUGGGUCCUUAGCUGCUAUUUACAUUCACACCAAAGCCUCUGGGUUUCCUAUUAUCUUCAAAAACAGAGCUGUGUUGGAAGAGAAUGAAUCCUGCCCCAGGGUUCUGUCUUGGGCCUGUUGUUGUUCACCUUUUUAAAAUUAAAUGACUUGGACGAAGGAAUUGAGGGGAUUAGCCAAUGCCGCAGAAGACAGAAUCGGGAUUCAAGAUGACCAUAACAGAUUGGAAAACUGGGUCCAAACUUACAAAACGAAAUGCAGCAGGGACAAAUGUCAGGUUUUACAUUUAGGCAGGAAGAACCAAAUGCAUAAAUAUAGGAUGGGGAACAUGUUACCUGCCAGUAGUAUGAGUUUCCUGGAGGGGAAAAAUGAAUCUUGUAAGUCUGCACAACAACUCUGCCACUUACAGACUACUAAUAUUUUCCCAACUGCUAAAAGGUCCCAACUGAAUGGUGACUUCUUCCUACUGCACUUAAGGUUCCCAAACACACUUUCCUCAACCUUUCCCUCCAGACUACGGUCGAGAGUAAUGCCUGUAACAUCCUUUCCUGUGGAAAAACAGCUCUUGGGGCGAGGCAAGAUCUGUUGCCCUACAUUAAGAUCAUUCUGACAGAGGUCCUCUUCCAGUUCUGUAGCGUCAGUAAGGAAGCUAUCGAAGAGGAGCCGCUAGCGCCUUUCACCAGCGAAAGCCUUCGCCAAGCCUUGGACACCAUCACCUGCAUCACCUAAGUACGAGGAGGUACAUCUCAGUCUCCCUACAGCUUGUCACUGCCCCACCUAUUCCUGGCAGGGUACUGCAUCCUUUGCUCGUUCCUCAAACAGAAUCUGGCUGCUAUGGAUGCACAACCUCACUGUAUCUUCACACAAGUCAGUCGACUGCAAGGGAUUCCUGCAAGGGAGCAUAGAUUUGAUACUGCAUGUGUGUGUGUGUGUG